rnacentral:lncRNA from 1 species
UAGAGAUCAGCUCUGCUAUACUGGAAAAUAGAUCAGCUGAUAUCCAGCCCCCGCAAUCCAUUUUGGUUGAUCAAAAGGAUAUUGAAGAAUCCAAAGAACCUGGUAUCGAGAGUGCUGAUGUGUCUUUACACCAAUUAGCUGAUAUCCAGGCCGAGCCAUCCAAUUUGGUUGAUCAAAUGGAUAUUGAAGAAUCCAAAGAACCUGGUACCGAGAGUGCUGAUGUGUCUUUACACCAAUUAGCUGAUAUCCAGCCCGGGCCAUCCAUUUUGGUUGAUCAAAUGGAUACUGAAAAAUCCAAAGAACCUGGUACCGAGAGUGCUGAUGUGUCUUUACACCAAUUAGCUGAUAUCCAGCCCGGGCCAUCCAUUUUGGUUGAUCAAAUGGAUACUGAAAAAUCCAAAGAACCUGGUACCGAGAGUGCUGAUGUGUCUUUACACCAAUUAGCUGAUAUCCAGCCCGGGCCAUCCAUUUUGGUUGAUCAAAUGGAUACUGAAGAAUUCAAAAAUCCUGAUGUGUCUUUACACCAAUUAGCUGAUAUUGAGCCCUCACUGUCUAUUUCAGCUGUGCAAAAGAAUAUUGAGGAUAAGGAUCAAAGUCACGUUGAAACUGCUGGAUCUGAGUUAGUUGAUGUCUCUGCCGAAUGUUCAACAGAAC